rnacentral:misc_RNA from 1 species
GGGAAAUUAGGUCAAAAAAAGGGGGGAAAAGAUCAUAAAUCUGCUCAAGGCCCAAAAAUUUUGGAAUUCAAAAAUCGAAAACCCUUCACCAAUUUGGACAAACCACUUUUUCUGAAAUUUCAAUUCAUUCCCAAAGAAGGAAUGGCCAGAUCGACGCCUGAGAUUAACUUACCCAUCCUUGGAAGGCGACGUGGCGUAAUCUCACGCUGGGAGGACGAUCCCGUGUGAUCUUCUUGUUGUACGAAAAAGGGAUGACGGGGAAUACAAUGAUAGGCAGAGCUCCGCGUCU